rnacentral:rRNA from 1 species
GCCGGCAGCUAGCUCUCUGCAACUCUCAUGGUGGUCACCCACUGAAGCUAAGCAGGGCUGAGCCUGGUCAGUACCUGGAUGGGAGACCACAUGGGAAAGCUAGGUUGCUGCCGGAA